rnacentral:rRNA from 1 species
UACGUAGGUGGCAAGCGUUGUCCGGAAUUAUUGGGCGUAAAGCGCGCGCAGGCGGUCCUUUAAGUCUGAUGUGAAAGCCCACGGCUCAACCGUGGAGGGUCAUUGGAAACUGGGGGACUUGAGUGCAAAAGAGGAAAGCGGAAUUCCACGUGUAGCGGUGAAAUGCGUAGAGAUGUGGAGGAACACCAGUGGCGAAGGCGGCUUUCUGGUCUGUAACUGACGCUGAGGCGCGAAAGUGUGGGGAGCAAACAGG